AGGGAACUGUUGCUGCUGAUAUA
rnacentral:miRNA from 15 species